AUGGCCUGCAUGAUGCUUCUCCUUGGGCUCCUUGCUUAUGGGUCAGGGGUGGAUUCUCAGUCUGUGGUGACCCAGGAGCCAUCACUCUCAGGGUCUCCUGGAGGGACAGUCACACUCACCUGUGCCCUGAGCUCUGGCUUAGUCUCUACCAGUUACUACCACAGCUGGUACCAGCAGACCCCAGGCCAGGCUCCACGCAUGCUCAUCUGCAGUCCAAACACCUGCCCUUCUGGGGUCCCUGGUCGCUUCUCUGGCUCCAUCCUUGGGAAUAAAGCUGCCCUCACCAUCACAGGGACUCAGUAGAUGAUGACUCUGAUCAUUACUGUGUGCCGUACAUGGGUGGUGGCAAUU